rnacentral:lncRNA from 1 species
UCGUAAUCGAAGCUCUGCAACUUCCCACCCACCGGAAUCUUACCACACAAACGAUUGUAACUCACGUUCAGGAACUGUAAAUCCAGAGAAGUCAUCAUCUCCGGCAGGCUCCCGGCGAUCUUGUUAUGCGAAAGGUCCAACGACGUCAAACUCUUCGGGAAUUCCACUCUCGAAAGAUCAAACUGGAACAAGUUCCGUGAGAAGUCAACGAUCUGUGUUGACUUAUUGGCAUUGAAGAAUAUUGACAGGUCACCCUCAAGCUUGUUACGCGAUAAGUCCAUGACGUUGGGGUCGAAUCCUCUGAAAGAAUAUGGGAUUUUCCCGGAAAGUUGGUUGUGUGAGAGGUGUAGACCUGGGGUAGAGCCGGCGAAUUUUCCGAAGGAGUCAGGGAUUGGGCCGGUGAGGUGGUUCCGGUCGAGAUGGAGUGCGCCGAGGUUGGGGAGGAGAGAGAGGCUGCCGGGAAUGGGUCCAGAUAGGUUAUUGAAGGAGAGGUCGAGGUACGUGAGGUUCUUAAGCUCGCUGAAGAACGCCGGCACGGGACCGGAGAGGUUGGUCCAGCUAAGGCGAACCAUUUUUAGGUGCUUGAGUUUGGCAAUCGCCGGCGGGAUCUGACCGGUGAGGUUAGAGAGCUUGCGGAAGAUGAGGGUCUCGAGGAACGGAAGGUCACCAACAGCGUCGGGAAUCUGGCCGGAUAGCUGGCCGGAGAAGAUGGUGAGCGAGUUGAUGCGGUGGGUGGUGAGGUCACAUUCGACGCAGUACCAUCCGCAGCAAUCGGUGUUGGGAUUCCACGAAGCUAGAAUGUAGGGAUUGUCUAGGGCUUUUUUGAUUUGAAGGAGAACUUUUUUGUCUUUUGGGUUGCAACGUUCAGAGAGAGAAGGGCAUGGACGAGUGGCGAGUAAGACUAGGAGGAGAGAGGAGGAGAGAAGAAAAAGUUUUGAAGUCUCCAUUUCUCUGAAUUUGGCUACGUAAUGCCUAGACCAAAUCUUGAAUUUAUAGACACUUGCUCGCGUGACCAAAUUGAACACGAAUAUGGUAAAUGGGCUUCCAGCUAAGGGCGGCCUUGAGGGCUUAUUUGGAAUUUCCUUCCAUUUUUGUUUCUUUAGUGUCAAAUAUAUUUUACAAAUUUGGAUUAAAAAUAUUUUCUGAAAAUUUAUUUUUAAAAUAAAUUUAAAGUAGUUUAAGAUUUUUUUUUUUAAACAUUAUGAGAAAUAAUUGAAAAAAUGAAAAAUACUAAAAAUUGUUUUUAUUAAAAAUAUAAAUAUAUAAUAUUUUCAUAAAAAAAAAAAAAUCACAGUAUAGGGUUUAUUACUUUUUAGUUUUUAAAAAUAAAAAAUAGGGAUAAAAAAUUUAAAAUCUUAAAAAUUAUUUUUAAUUUAAAAGACAUUUUCAAAAUACUAAUUUAGAUAUAGAUAAACUCAAUAACAUUAUUAAAAAAUAAUUAUUUCCAUUAAUACCACAAAUUAGAUAACCUUACUUUUUUUCUAUAUUAUUAAAAAAAACUUAAAAAUAUAAAUUCAACAGUCAUUUUCUUUAUAUUAAGGUUAUAUUUGGUUAUCAAAAAGUAUUAAAAAAUUUUAUUUUAUCAUUUGAUUGUCCUAAAAAAAUAUAAAAAAAAUCAAAUAUAAUCAAAAUUAGUAAAAUAUUUAUGCAUUCUCAAAUUAUUUAAUCAUAAAUUAAAAUAAAUAAACAAAUUUAAAAUAACACAUAAAAAUAAUUUAUUAAUUUUAAAUUUAUUAUUAUUUUCUUUUUUUCCUUUCUAUUUUUUUACUUUACAUUUUCCUCCAAAUUUUCCUAAACCAAACGUACCCUAAGGAAAUUCUCGUGAGCAUAACCUAAAUUUAGCGUAGUUUUGCGGCUUUUGCCACAACUCUCACAACUAGAUAUUUUAUAUUUGAUUUCAGUGGGUCAAGCCCCAUGGAUCUGAAUCCGUUGCUUAAAACAAGAAAGCUUUGACUUUCAGCGAAUUUUCUGGGUCCGAUCAAUCAUUAGCUGGUCACCGUGUAGAUUCUUCUGGUUGGACGAUCGUUGGCUUUCAAAUCUAUUCCCACCAUAAAAAAAAAUAUGUAGAGAAUUUAUUUACAAAAUUUUUUAUUCUUUAGAAUUCAUAAUAUUUUUAAAAUUUUUGAAAAUAUAUUUCAUUAAAAAUAAUAUUCUAAAAACAGGCUUGUUUUUUAGAAUAAAUUCGAUAUGCAUUUAUAUAUAUUUAAAAAUAUGCUAAGAAAUAAUUAAAUAUAUAAAUAAUUAUUUGCAAACUUUUAUAUUAAUUUGAUAUAAUCUCGUAACAAUAAAUUACUUUAAUAAAAUUACAAAAUAUAUAAUGAUAAAUAUUUAAAGAUCUAUGAAAUUUGGAUUUAUUUUUAUUUUAAUUUUUAUUUCUACACGCAUUUGUCCCGCAAACGUGGCCUAAGGUCGAGGAGUGGUGUGGGUUGAGCGCUUCGCAUGCUUGUCAAAGUCAACAAUGGAGGCCCCUUGGUAUUAAUAUUAACUGCGUGCCGCUGAUCUUGUUGACUUCGUGAAGUAAAUCCAUAGGAUUUGUGGGCCACAUUCUUACACUGCCACUCACACUACAUGGAGCGCAUUAAUACCACAAAUUAUUAAUAAUUGUUUCCAUUAAUACCACAAAUUAGAUAACCUUACUUUUUUUUCUAUAUUAUUAAAAAAAUUUAAAAAUAUAAAUUCAAUAGUCAUUUUCUUUAUAUUAAGGUUAUAUUUGGUUAUCAAAAAAUAUUAAAAAAAUUUAUUUUAUUAUUUGGUUAUCUUAAAAAAAAUAUAAAAAAAAUCAAAUAUAAUCAAAAUUAGUAAAAUAUUUAUGCAUUCUCAAAUUAUUUAAUUAUGAAUUAAAAUAAAUAAACAAAUUUAAAAUAACACAUAAAAAUAAUUUAUUAAUUUUAAAUUUUUUAUUUUUUUAUUUUUUUCCUUUAUAUUUUUUUACUUUACAUUUUCCUCUAGAUUUUCCUAAACCAAACGUACCCUAAGGCUAUGUUUGGUUCCCGGAAAAUUUGAGGGAAAAUGCGAGGGAAAGAAAAUACAAUGGAAAAAUAGAAAGAAAUAAAAAGUGAAGAAAAAUAAAAAAAUAGAUUAAAAGUUGAUAAAUUCUUUUUUUAUUACUUCAAAUUCAUUUUAUUUAUUUUAACUCAUCAAUAUAAAGAUUAAAUAAUUUAAAAAUAUAUAAAUUUUUAAUUAGUUUUAAUUAUAUUUAAUUUUCUUUUAUAUUUUUCAUAGGAUAAUCAAACAUAAAAAAAAUUAUUUUUUUUAGCAUUUCUUUUCUUUCCUUUGUAAUUUUUGGUAACCAAACAUAGCCAAGGAAAUUCUCGUGAGCAUAACCUAAAUUUAGUGUAGUUUUGCCACAACUCUCACAACUAGAUAUUUUAUAUUUGAUUUCAGUGGGUCAAGCCUCAUGGAUCUGCAUCCGUUGCUUAAAACAAGAAAGUCAAAACUUUGACUUUCAGCGAAUUUUCUGGGUCCGAUCAAUCAUUAGCUGGUUACCGUGUAGAUUCUUCUGGUUGGACGAUCGUUAGCUUUCAAAUCUAUUCCCACCAUAAAAAAAUAUGUAGAGAAUUUAUUUACAAAAUUUUUUAUUCUUUAGAAUUCAUAAUAUUUUUAAAAUUUUUGAAAAUAUAUUUCAUUAAAAAUAAUAUUCUAAAAACAGGCUUGUUUUUCAGAAUAAAUUCGAUAUGCAUUUAUAUAUAUUUAAAAAUAUGCUAAGAAAUAAUUAAAUAUAUAAAUAAUUAUUUGCAAACUUUUAUAUUAAUUUGAUAUAAUCUCGUAACAAUAAAUUACUUUAAUAAAAUUACAAAAUAUAUAAUGAUAAAUAUUUAAAAAUCUAUGAAAUUUGGAUUAAUUUUUACUUCUACACGCAUUUGUCCCGCAAACGUGGCCUAAGGUCGAGGAGUGGUGUGGGUUGAGCGCUUCGCACGCUUGUCAAAGUCAACAAUGGAGGCCCCUUGGUAUUAAUAUUAACUGCGUGCCCCUGAUCUUGUUAACUUCGUGAAGUAAAUCCAUAGGAUUUGUGGGCCACAUUCUUACACUGCCACUCACACUACAUGGAGCUUCACCAAGUGACCCUGGGAACCAUAGCCCUUUCCUGGGUAGAGCCUCCCCAAUAUCCUAAAACUUAAUAACUCAUCAUACAAUAUUCUAUUUAAUUUUGUCGGGAAGACUUAUUUUAAAAUUUAUUUCUUCCAUUAAUUUGGUUUUUGAAUGUCGAUGAGAAUCUCCUACAAUAAAAUAAAAAAGGGCAAAUAUGUAAAUAUAUAUUAUUUAUAAAAUAUGAAUAAAUUCAAAACCCAAAAAAUUACUUUCAUUGAGAGUAUAUUUAAAAAAAAAAAAUUCUCAUUUUAUGUAUUAAAAUAGUAAUUUUAUUCGUAUUUUCAAAACCACCUUUCAAGCAAUUAAUGGUGCCUCCCCCGCUUUUUUUUUUUUCUCUCUUUUAUUUAUUUAUUUAUUUAUUUAUUGUUUUUUCUUUCCUUGAAUGAUUGAUGGGCCUCCCCACUUUUGUCUCUCUUUUUUGAAUUUUCAUUUUUCCUUCCCCACUCUCGGUAUUCUCGUUCCCACCUUUUCAUCAAAUUAAAUCAACUUUCAGCUUAAAAGAAUAAGAGUAUAUUUAAUAGUAAUUUUAAAAAAAUGUUCUAAAUAUUUGUAAUACUUAAAAAUAUUAAUUAUUCAAGUAUUAAAAAUACUUUUUAUAAUCAUUAUCAGAUGCAUUUUAAUAGUCUAUUUAAUAGUAAUUCCAGAAAGUGUUUUUAAUAUUUUUAAUAUUAAAAUUUUUUUUUAUCAUUUAAAUAUUAAAAAUAUUUUCUAAAAUCACUAUUAAACGAGUUCUAAAUUAAAUUAAGUUUCAUAUUACAAUUAAUGAAUUAAAUUUUGUUUUUUUUAAUACUUUCAUUUUAAUUAAUUUUAUAAAUUAAAUUUUUUCCAUAUUUUUAAAAAUAUGUUUACUUUAAAAAGCAAACUUUAUUUUUUUAAAGCUACAAUUCAUUUAUUUAUUAUUAUUUUCAUUUUUUAUUAAAAUUUUAUUUUAACAUAAUGUAUAAUUACUACAUUAAAAUAAAUUAAUUUUUAAUAUAAAAAUAUACUAACCUAUAAUAAUUAAUAAGUUAAUAAAUAAAUAAAUACUAACAUUUUAAAUAAUAUUGAUUUCAUAUAUAUAUAUAUAUAUAUAAUAUUUUAUUUUGUUUGACAUUCAUAAUUAUAAUAUUUAUAAUUUUCAUAUUAUGGAUCUCAUUUUUUUAUAUUUUAUAUUUAAAUUUUUUUUUUUAUAGAAUGUUAAACCUUUUAAAAAAAAAAAAAAAAAAACCAUCUACAUGUGGUUGAAAUUAUAUUUUUUAUUUUUUCAAAAUAAAAACAUAAAAAUAAUAUUAAAAAAAUAUUAACUUACCUUUAAUUUCAUUCAACAAAAAAUUAUUAAUAAUUAUUUUUUAAAAGUAUUUAAUUUAAAAAGCAAUAUUUGAAGGUAUGUAAAAUCAAAAUUUUAAAAGUCGUUUGCAUUCAAAUUUUAAAUAUAAAUUCACAAUUUUCAUCAUACUACAUUGAUAUUAAAAAAAUAAACUUAAUGUUUUUUUAUUAAAUAUGUAAAAAAUAGUACAUUUUUAUUUAAUUAGAAAUUUAAACCAUUAAAUUUGUUUUUUUAUUACAUAUUAUCUAAUAAUGGCUACCAAAGUCAUAUUAUUUAAUACAUUAUGUUAUUUAUAGUAAUGCUUUUAGUUACUAAUAUUAUUAUUUUUAGAUAAAAACAAUGUUAUUAUCUUUAGUAAUAUAUUUGAUGUCGAUAUUGAAGUAGUAAUGAAUGAAAAAUAAGUUAGUACACUAUUCUAUUUACAAUUGUGUUUUUAGUUAUUAACAUUAUUACUUUUAGGUAAAAAGUUAUUAUUUUCAGUGACAUAUUUAAUGUAGAGGGUAGAGAGAUACCAAAAUUCCGAUGUUGUAAUAAGUAUUAUAACAACCACGUAUAUGCGUCCAAUCAAGUAUAUAUAUUAUCUUAUCUUCUAUAGGUGGUAGCUAUCAGAAGAUACUGUUUAAAACAUACACAAAAUUACUAUUUUAGUGUAUAAAAUAAUAAUUAUUUUCUCCAAAAUAUAAUUCUAUAAAAGUGACUUUUUUUUUCAUAUUUAAUAUUUUAUGUACGAUAUAUGUUUACGUAAUUCCCCCAAUAAUUAUUUUUUUUAAAUGGUGGAAAUGAUAGUAUUAAGCUAAAUAUACUCUCGAUACGUUUAUUUAAAUAUAAUACAAAAUUUAAAAAGCAUAAAGGUUGUAAUUAAUGAUGGGUAGGGGAUCCAAGAAAACCCCUUUGAAGGAAAAAAGUGCCAUUGAAUUAAGGGAGUUUCUUGUCAAAGUAAUUUUUUUGUAAAAAUAAUUAUUGAUUUAGAUUUAUGUUCAAAAUAAUUUGUCAAAGUAGUGUGUCGGUACAACACCAAAUUUGACUUUAAUUUUUAAUUUUAAUUUUUGUUUUGAGUGUAUAAAGCUAAACAAAAAUUAGAUUGAUAAAUAUUUUGAGAAUAGGUCAACUUUGGUUAUUUUUUUCUUUCAAAAAUACUACUUUGGCCUUAAACUUGAAUUAAGGCUUAGCUCGUAAGUAAAGUUAAAAAAAUAAAGUGGCAUAACGAGACACCUUUCUCAGUCUUUUUCUUUAUUUCGUGAUCUUCUUCUUCUUUUCCCUUAAAUCAUUAUUUUUGUUGUAUUCUUUAUUUUGUCAUCCUCUCUUUUUCUUUAUUAUUAUUAUCUAUCUUAUCAAUAUUAUUAUUUAUUAUAAACACUUCUUUUCCCUUAAUCAUUAUUUUUGUUAUAUUCUUUAUUUUGUGAUCUUCUAUUUUUCUUUAUUAUUAUUAUUAUUAUUUAUCUUAUCAAUAUUAUAAUUUAUUAUAAACACUUCUUUUCCCUUAAUCAUUAUUUUUGUUGUAUUCUUUAUUUUGUCAUCUUCUAUUUUUCUUUAUUAUUAUUAUUAUUUAUCUUAUCAAUAUUAUUAUUUACUAUAAACACUUCUUUUCCCUUAAUAAUUAUUUUUGUUGUAUUCUUUAUUUUGUCAUCUUCUCUUUUUCUUUAUUAUUAUUAUUUAUCUUAUCAAUAUUAUUAUUUAUUAUAAAUAUCAUUGUUUGAUAAAUUACGGUAAAUAAUUAUUUAUUAUUAAAAACAUAUGAAAAUGUAUUUAUAUUUAUAAAUUCUGUGCAAUUAUCUUCAUUAAUUGGAUUGGAUCGAACUCAUCAAUCCUAACUCAAUUUGGGUUAGCUCGAAGUAUAUAUACAAUAUUUUAAUGAAAAAAAAAAUUGUAAAUUGUCUAUCUCAAAGUUCAAUUAAAAUUCUGAACUCGACCUGCUGAAUGCAUCAGUGAAACCAAUCAAAAACACACAAACUUCCAUCAACAGUUGACAAUUUAUUGCUGGUUCCAUUAAAAUGAUAGUCACAGACACCCUUUUUGUAGAAUGUGGGGUGUUUCAACUCUCAAGAUAUCAGCUGAAUUCAUUUUACAGGUUCAGUGAGCAGGCAACUGCCAUACCAGUGUCACGAUGGAGACUCCUUCCAUUGUAAUCUGUCAAGCCCAUCAACUAUCGCCCUGCGGAAUUCACCAUUGUGAAGAAUAAAAGAUGAGACGUGCCCUCCGGUGACCCACCUCACUUCUGAGCCAGGCCAAGCUUUCUGAAGUUCCAGCACUGAGUGUUUUGGGAUAUAUCCAUCAUCCUGAACACAUGAUUGCAGAAGGUCAGGGAACCAAAUUUUGAAAGAAAAAUGAUGAUGGAAAAGGCAGUAGGCUAAAUUUUAUGUGUUGGAGAACACCUAAUGAUAAAAGGAAAAGAGAAACACGAGUUAACUGUCUCCAAUAAACAUUCACACAGUAAUAUACUAAGUCUGAUACUCACAGUAGCAGCAACAAAGAUAACGGCAUUGGGAUUUUUGGGGAUUGGGAAGCGUGUGACAUCUGUGAGAGACAGUACAUUUCGCAUCCGCUCUCUAACAUCCUCGAGAGUCAUUGCAGCCUUCUGCACUGCAAGGUCCUCUCUCAGUGCCUCCCAUGCAGUUGCGUGUUUUAAUAUCCCUUCACAGAAUGCCACAACAGCAGAGUGUGGAGAGAGAAAAGGAAGGGUAGCAACAGGGGUGGGGUGCAGAGAUCCAACCAUUGCAGCAUGUACUCCACCUAAUUACCAUAAAAGCAUCAAUGCAAAUGAGAAGAGGAUCAAAGUUCUGAUGUCUAUUCCCAGAAUGGUAUAUUACAACAGGAACCAACAUGUUUGUUUUUGCAUAGUUAAAAAAUUGAAGCGACAACUUUUGACCAGGAAUCACAAAGGAAAAAAUCUGGUUUUCCUAAAGCUUCAAUAUAUGUAAAAGGGAUCUAUUGAAUCUUACCCAUGCUAAGUCCACAGACACCCAUCUUGCCAAACCCUGCUUCAGAGUCUAACCAAUGUAGAAGACUACGGGCUUCUUCAAUGGUGGCCCUUCCUAGCAAUAGCAAGUCACUCACACACAAGAGCUUAGCACCACGCUGCAGCACAGGUCGUCUCUGACCAUAAAAAGGGCUGCAGUCACAUAUUUUUAUCUAAAUUUAGAAGUACUAAUUAUUGUUUCACAUUAAUCAAUUAGGAGAAGCUUUUCUUCCAGUUUAAAAAAUGAACUCUGUUGAAUUGGUUCUCACCUUUCAAGCACCAUGGUUGCUAUGUUUUCCUUCAACAAUGGACCACCAAGACGCAAUCUUCGCUCAAAUGUAUGGUCCCCAGUGCCUGAAAAUAGAAAGCUAGACUCCAUAAAGCAAAUAACCAAGUGCUUGCUCUAAAUUUCACCCUUGAAAGAUAUUCCUAAACAGGUCAAGUAUGGAUCCCUGAAUGGUCUGUUCCACAAUUAGUAAGCAACAUAGGAAUCAGAUAGCCAUGGUAGUGAAUUUGGCAAUCCAGAAUCUGUAAGAGGCCAAAAUCAUACAAAAUUCAGAAAUUAAUUGGGAUGCAACUUUAAUAAACCAUGGAAAAUUUUGCCUCUGGCCUUAACUGUGAAAGGGUGAGGGGGGGUUUGAAUAUAAACUAUAAAGUUGUAUUUAUAUUAUUUAUAAAAAAGCCAUGACAAGCUCAAUAUUAUUUUCAAUGUAGGAACUGGGAAAAGCAGUAAAUCAACAUGUUGUAGUUUUGGAAUUGUUAGGAAUGUGACAAGUGAAUGGAAAAUAAUUCAAAAGUUAUUUGUAUUUCUAAAGAAUUAACAACAAACAAAUCAUUCACAAAAGAUUUCAGACAAGAUACAACCAAUGAGAAAAUUGGGUUUAGUAUAAGACUUGAUGAAAUAUUCAGAAAUCUUGUUUAAAAACACUGAUUAUUCAGUUCUUUUACAUCUUCAACAAACAAAACAUCGAACUUGCUUGCCCAUCUACAGCAUACAAAGCUUUUCAGUGGCAUAGAACAAAUCAGAUGCCUAAACUAUAAAAAUGUAAUAGCUGAAUGGAAUGUGGUUUGCAAAGUAAGGUCACCAAUAAAAACUUCAGUUGAACACUUUGAGCCAAACAUUCAAACAUAAAACGCACAUCCCAUUUGAAUUCUUUAUCAAAGUAGGAGGAUAAUAAAAUCAUCAAUCCCGACAGAAAUUAAGCCAGAACUUCAAAUUUCUAUUGAUUGAAUGAGAACCUACAAACAUGACCACUCAGGUCCUGGAUUGAAUGAGAACAAUAUACAGUAUUAUCUGUUAAAAAUUAAUCUCCAACAAUAUACACUACUAUCUGAUAAAAAUUAAUCUCUGAGACAUUAAAAGCCAAGAAUGCACCAUUUCAACCUAUCAAAAUUAGACAUUUUUUUUUUCUCAUAUAAGGAAACAUAAAUCAAACACUGCACUUGUAUCCUCCCCAAACCCACUGGAAGAUAGCAAACUUUAAUAGGGAACAGCAUAAUCUAAAACCUAAGAAUUUUCCCCAAUUGAAUGACAACCCAACCCAAUUGAAAGAAAGAUCAAUUAAAGCAAAUAAACCAGCAUAAAGCAUACACUUUAUUUAAAUCCAUUAUCAAAACAGUUAGAAAGAUUUAAACUCAUAAUGCUUUGAAGCAAAUAAACCAGCAUAACACAUACACUUUAUUUAAAUACAUUAUCAAAACAGUUGGAAGAUUCAAACUCAUAAUGCAGAUCAAAAUGAGCUAUGCUUCCAACUCCUCCGAGUUUCAAUAGUAUUUAAAGCAAUCUAGAUAUCAAACUCUCAAUUGGCAUAGCAGCUCAAGUUUUACCAUGUUAAUUGUCAUAUUUAGACUAAUUUCAGGCAAAUGAACAAAACAUGAGAAGAGCAGAAAUUAGUGCAAACGGAGAUUAAACAUUCAAUGCAGAUAUAAAUCACGCCAAAACUUUGAACUUCGGAUCACAAUCCACCUAAUCUAGAUUACCGAAUUCCAGAACAAACAGAAGGUAACAAUACCCAAUAGGAUCAAUUUUUGUGUGGAAAAAUGAGCAUACAAGAACCAAACACCCAUUUGGGAUUCCAUCAAUGCAAAGUAAAUUAAGUUACAGUGCAACCAUCUGCUAUUUCAAUGACAAUUUAACAAUCUAAAAACAAAAUUAUCGUCCACUGAGUAAGCUAAAGGUUGAUCACGUCACCUGCAAGAUGAACCACACAAGCCAUCUUCUGGGGUGGCACGAAUUUGGGAGUAAGGAAAGCAACCCUUGCAGUAUGACUCUCAGGAGGCAAUGCACUCAGAAGCCGCUCGUCACAAGGGGUUUUGAAAACUCCUUCUCUCAAACAAGCAGUCUUUGUUUCCCAAACCGUUUUCCAAAUGGGUUGGAUCAAACUAGGGGGCCAAUUCUCCGCAGCUUCAGGAAAUAGUUGUUUGAUCAUUCUCUCCAGAAGAUCAAGCUUUGCCCCACCCCAUCCUCUGGAGAAGAAUGGAGGACUUAUCUUUGUUCUGUGCAUGAAUGCCCCAUAUACAUGGUCCAGUAUGUGAUGGAGCAUUCCCAGAUUCACAGUGACCAUUUUGAGAAAACCCACCGAUCCAAAAACCAAAAUCUAGACAAAAAUGGUAGAUUCAAUCGGGUUAUGUCAAUUUCGGAAUAAGGCCCAGAUGGAAGCGAUCAAAAUCUUGAAACAAUUGAAAGCAAAUUUAGGUAAAUCUCAUAGCAAUCAUCGAACUCGCAGUCCAUCGAGAAUUCAACAAAUAACAAAUACACAAAAAUAGAGGGAUUUUAAUCAAAUUCAGGAACCCGUGAAAACUAAAAUCCACAAUUUUAGGCCUCAAAAUCCCAACAACGGGCAAAAACCCACGACUCAAAGCUCUAAAAGCAAAUUCAAAUUUAAGAGAGCUUUAUCAUUGUGGACAAAAUAGAUCUCACUCAUCAAUGCAUUAAAAAAAAAAAGAAAAAAAAAAGUGUGGAUCCGAUUAAACGGAAUCAGAGAAGGAGAUGGAUUAGAAAAGAGAAGUUUACUGAAAAAAAAAAACCUGAGAAGAUUUAUGAAUCUAUGGGCAUUGAUGGAGGGAGAAGAGGGGUAGAAAAAGAAGAUUUAGGUGCGAAAGAAUCGAGGAAAUAUCGAAGAGAUACCAGGACCUUUCAAUUAAAAGGGACGAAACUGUGGGCGAAUUGAGGAGUUGUAAAUGACACGAUGGCAGUGGUCCCAGUGCCACCUCAUCUUAUCUGAUUUUUUUAUUAUUUUGCAAUAAUCAUAUUCGCCGUGGUGGACCGGGAUAAUAAGCCAAUCAGGUGGAGCAGACCACUCCGAAAACGGCGUCGAACCAACUGUUUCGAGUCUUGAGGGUAUGACUUAUGAGUUGGUUCCUGUUUGGAAUUGAAUUUUAUAUGAAAUCUACUUUUUAGUUUUUAGGAUUGGAUUAGAAAUUGAUUUAAUUUGGAUCAAAUUUAGAGAUUUGGAGUGUACUGAUUUUAUUUAAAAUAUUUAUUAUAAAAUAUUUUAAAGAAAUUAGAAGUAUUUUAUUGGAUUGUUUGGCCAAAUUUUAAAAAUCAUUUACAAAAAUUGGAUUUCUAACAAAUAUUUUAUAAAUUAUUAUUUUUUUAAAUAUUAGGUAGAUGAUUUUAAAAUUUUAUAAGAUUGUGUAAUUUCAAAUUUUAUACAAUAUUCUAAUUUUUCAUAAUUAUUUUUAAUAAUGAUUGCUCGUUAGAAUGGAUUUUUUUUUAAUAAUGAGAAUAUAUGACAUGCCAUAUGCCCACUUUAGUAAUUAAUAGUAAAUUAUUUAUGGUAGGGGUAUUCCAUAUGAAGCCUUUUGCGAAUAUGAUCGGGGAUGAGAAACAUUUGUGCCUAGAAAAAGUGAUGUGAUAGUUGCAAUGGGAUAGUUUUUUGUUUUUAGUUUUAAAAAAUUAAUCCGAAAUUUAAAAUUAAUGUUGAUAGGAUGUAUUUACAUCGAGUUUUAGGGGAUGAUGAAAUUAACUCGAAAACAAACCUAACUAACUCUUAAUAACAAUAUAUAUAUAUAUAUAUAUAUAUAUAUAUAUAUAUAUAAUUUUGUAAAAGAUGGAAAGAAAAAUCAUCGGCUCCAACGUUCUUAGGAAUGUUAUCUGUGGCUGGGGAUCAAUGCAUCAUGUUAGGAUAAGUUUCGGUAACCGAUAAGAUCUUGUAAAAAAAAAAAAAAAUUAUUUAACUGCCAAAAAACUCGAUCUCUCCAUACAAACGAAUCGUUCGCCACGCGCCAACCAAAUUUCCUCGUUCCAUUUAAGCCCGUACAUCUCCCGCCACAACAGAGCCCUUGAGGAGCACGUUUUCUCGUUUCAUUCGAUCGCAUAGAGCGUUCGAUUCAUUGGCUCCGUGGCGCGGUAAUGUAUAAUCUGCUUGCUAUGAUCUUCCUAUUUAUUUAUGUUUUCGAUAUAUUUUCGAUUCAUCGAUCUUGAUUCUGAUGAGCUGUUGAAUCGUUAGCCGUUGAUUCGUGUGAACUCUGAGAUGGCGUUGUUUGUUCGCAGGCAUGAUUCUCCGAGUUGCUUGGUUUCUUUCGUUAGUUCGAUGAUCGCAUCAAGAAUUGUUGACGACUGCAUUGAGGUACGGCCCAAUGUUUGAUUCCUUUUUUCUUAGAUCGUUUGUUUGGUUGCUGAGAAAAGUAAAGAAAGGAAAGAAAACUUUUGAGUCUUAUUUUCCUGAUUGAGUUGUAGGGGAUUAGUUACUGGCGGUUUUUGUUUUCUCUGACAAAUCUUGGACUCAAUAUUUUGAUUUUCUUGGCUAUCAAACAGUGCAUAAUUUUAUGUGUGUGCAAGUUUGCAUAAAAUGUUGAUGGUAUUCGGCAUUUUUUUGGUGUUAUCCUUGGUACUUUGUUUGGUUUAUGAGAAAAGGAAAUAAAUUAAAAAUUAACCUUGGUUUUUCAAUAUUUUGUGUGAGGAUUUCUUUAAUUCAUGCAAACAAUCAUAAUCCUAAUUCCCAAAUUUUAGAAGUUUGUGAUUUUUCACAAUAGAAUAAAUAAUCAAGAAAACAUACUUUGAUCCAUGAGAUUAAUUUUGAAGAAAAAUUAUUUGUAGAAAAGAAGAAAUUAGAGAAAACUUGGUUUCUCUCUCGACCCUUUUAGUUUGAUGUAAAUUUCUUGAUGGAGAAAAAACUGUAUAUAUAUUAGGCAAAGAGAUGACCAAAUCUAAAAUAGGGUUUUAUGUCUCACAACGGAUAUUUAGAAAUUGUUUUGAAGAAUAGCAAAAUGUUUGAUGUUUUUAGAGGAUUUUCUUUUUUUUUGGAGCUUCAAGGAAAAGUAGUACGUUUUUACUAGCUCUAAACAUGAAUUUGGUAAUGGGUAACUUUCCUAUUUGAGUCAUUCCCAUUUUGACUCUCCAUGCUUGAAAUGUAAAAUGACCAUUAUGCCUAUAGAGUGGGUCCUAGGGCAUGCCAUGAUAUAUGCCAAAUAAUAACAUCUUCUUGACUAAUAGGAUUUUAGCACUAAAUAUUAUUAACCAUAAUUCUCUUUUAAAUUAAAUAAAAAAUAAUUAAUAAUAAAAUAAACCCAUCUUAAUUAUCUUUUAAAUUGAAUAAAAGAUAAUUAAUAAUAAAAUAAGCCACUUGUGUCACAUUAAAAAAAUAAAGUGGCAUUAUCAUGGUUUAAUAAUAAAACAUAAUAUGUGUAGUAUAAGCUAAGUCCUUUCUUACAUUGGUCACGUCAUAAAUCAUCAUAAAUUAUCAUUAAGUAAAAAAUCAUAAAGAUUAUAACGGUCAUAUGCCAUUAUCUCAAUAGAGUCCCUUCCAUGUAUCACAAUAUUUAGUUUCAAAUUUGAUUUGUAAUAAAAUAUAUCAUAAUGAUCCAACAAUAUUGUUUUUGUCAAAGGCAAAUCUUGUUAAAAUUCACAUAAUUCAUUUAUGUAUAUGCUAACGAUAAGAAACAAGAUAUUCAAAUAUUAGAAACAAUAUUUAAAAAGUUUUAUGAGUGUUGAAUACAUGAAAACAUAAAAUAAUGACAUAAUGUCAGUAAUGGUACCCAAUAAUGCCCAUUCUUUUGAUAUAUUCAUUAAAUGUAUUUGGUAGUAAUCUUUUUGUUAAUGGAUUAGUAAUCAUAAGGUUGAUGCUAAUGUGCUUGAUGGGCACCCUUUGUUUUUGAACUACUUUAACAACAACAUAUUUCACUUUCAUGUGUUUAGGACCAUUUGAAUACUUGUCGUUUUUCGAAAAGAAGACUGUUGACAGAGUUAUCACAAUAAAUUUUAGGGACUUGGUAAUACUGUUGAUAAUUCCAAGUCUGGAAAUAAAGUUCUGUAGCUAUAAUCCAUGAAUAGUCAACUCAAAGCAUGCCAUAAACUUAGCUUCCAUGGUGGGAUGCAGUAAUGACAGAUUGUUUCACACUCUUCCAUGAGAUUUCAUCCCCGGCCAAAAUGAACAAAUAACCAAAUGACGAUUUUCUUGUAUCAACACAUCCAACAUAAUCUGAAUUUGAAUAUCCUAUUACCUUUAGAUGAUCAGAUCUCCUAUAAGUGAGCAUGUGAUCCUUCGUUCCUUGUAAGUAUCUCAAUACUUUCUUUCCAACUUUUCAAUAAUCCAAACUUGGAUUACUUUGACACCUGCCUAGUAUUUUGACAGUAAAAUUGAUGUUUGGCUCGAUACAAGUCUGUACAUACAUUAAGCUCCCAACAAUAGAUGCAUAAGGAAUCUAAUUUUUUUUUGUGUGUUCCAAUUCAUUCUUUGGGCAUUGCAUAAGACUGAAUUUAUCUCAUUUCUAAAUUGGAACAACACUUUUCCAUCUUCAAUCUUUUUAGAACUUUAUUAAUAUAUGUUUUUUAAGGCAAUCCUAACAAUCAUUGUGAUCUGUUUCAAAAUAUUUCAAUUCCUAUCACAUAGGAUGCCCCACCCAUAUAUUUCAUUUGAAGGUUCUUAGAGAGAAAUUUCUUGGUUUCAUGUAAUAAGCCAAGAUCAUUAGUAACAAGCAAGAUAUUAUCAACAUACAAAAUCAUAAAAAUAAACUUGCUCCCAUUGACCUUCAAAUAUAUACAUCCAUUAACAAUGUUUUCUUUAAAUCUAAAAGAAGUGAUGAUAUCUUUGAACUUAAGAUGCCAUUGUUGGGAAGUUUGUUUAAGUUCGUAUAUUGAAUAUUUAAGUUUACAUACCAUGUGUUCCUUUCUUUCAAAAGAAAAACCCUUGGGUUGAUCCAUGUAAAUCUUUUCCCCUAAAUUCCCUUUCCAAAAAGUGGUUUUUACAUCCAUUUGAUGUAACUCUAAAUCAUAAUGAGCUACCAUUGCCAUGAUAAUUUUAAAAUAGUCAUUUUUUGAAACAGAAGAAAAGGUCUCCUUGUAGUCAACACCGUCCUUUUGAGUAAAAUCCUUGGCAAUGAGUCUAGCCUUAUAUCGUUCGAUAUUUCCAUUUGAGUCGUGUUUGGUCUUAAAAACCCAUUUACAAUCGACUCUCUCACAACCUUUAGGCAAUUUGACGAGAUCCCAAAAUCCAUUAUGAUUUAUGGGUUUCAACUUUUCUUUUAUGACGUCUAACCACUUAACAGAAUUAACACUUUCUAUGGCUUGUGAAAACAAAACUGAAUCCUCAUCAAUUCCCAAGUCAAAUUCUAAUUCUUGUAGAUAAACCACAUAAUCAUAAGAAAUAACAAUUCUUUUUUGCCUUUGAGACCUUCUUAAUGUUACUUCAUGUGGUUCAUCCACUACAAGUUCAUUUGCAAUAAUUUCAUUAUUGGUAAUUUGAUCAUUCAUUUGUUAUUUUUACAAGUUGUCAAAUUGUUCAACAACUCUAGGAACAACAACAUGAGAAAAAGUUAUAGGUAAAGAACCCUACACCCUAACUUUUUCGAUUUCCACUUUACGUGGUUCCACAUUCCCACCAAUGCUGUCAUUUUCUAUGAACUUAGCAUAUUUAGUUUCAACAAUUUUCGUACUAUGACCAAGACGAUAAAAUUAUAUCCUUUAGAUUUUUUUGGAUAAUCAAUGAAGAAGCCACUAGUUGUUCUUAAGUCCAGUUUCUUUUCAUGUGGAUUAUAAAUUCUUUACUUUCGUCGAGCAACCCCAAACAUGUAGGUGCUUCAAAUCGAGUUUCCUUUCCAUCCAGAGUUCAAAAGGGGUUUUUGAAACUGCCUUACUAGGGCUCCUAUUCAAUAAAUACAUGAUGGUUUUUAAAGCAUGCAUCCACAAAGAUAAAGGUAAAGAAGAAUAACUCAACAUAUUCCUAACCAUGUCUAUUAGAGUACAAUUAUGCCUUUCUACAACACCAUUUUGUUGUGGUGUACUUGAUAUUGUGUAUUGAGCACAUAUGCCAGGCUUUUUAAGACAAAUGGACUAGGACAUUGUUCAAUUUCAUCAUGCUUUCCAUAAUAUUCACUACUUCUGUUAGACUUGACAAUUUUCACUUUUUUGUCUAGUUGUUUUUCAAUCUCAUUCAUAAAUACCUUUAAGGCGUCUAUUAGUUGAGAUUUUUUAUGUAACAAAUAAACAUAGUCAUAACAUGAAAAAUCAUCAAUAAAGAUGAUAAAAUACUUUUCUCCACCAAAAGAUGGAAUAUCAAAAGACCCACAUAUAUCGGUGUGUAUAAGUUCAAAGAGUUGUAUGCUUCUUGUGACUGUUUUCUUAAUUAUGUGUUUUCCUUUAAUACAAUCCACAUAUAUGCCAAGACCAUAAAAAUUCAAUUCAGAAAGGAUUUCAUUCUUUAUCAAUCUCAGUAUUUUUUCUUUAGAUAUGUGACCUAAGCAUUUCUACCACAAGUAAGUUGAACUUUUAGCAACCGAACCACAUUUAAUACCAACAUUUGAUGUAAGGUUAACAAAAUCUCAGCAAAAAAGUUAUCAAGCUUUAAUUUGUACAAACCAUCACAUAGAACACUAAAACCAACGAAAUGAUUAUGUUUUAAACAAACUGAAACAUCCAUUCCCAAAUUUAAAAGAAUUUCUAGUGCAUCAAGUUUAGACAAAGAAACUAAGGGCUUGUUUGGUAACCAUUUUCGAAAACAGUUUUGAAAAACAGUUUUUAAGAAUGGUUUUUGAAAAUUGGUUUAUGAUGUUCUAUAGAAUAAAAAUCUGUUUGGAAACCUAAAAUAUUUUUAACUUGUUUUUAAUAUUUUUAAAUAUGUUUUAAAAAUAAUUUUUAUGUCUAGUGUUUUAUUUUUAAUUAUUCUACAUGUUUGUAUAAUUAUUUUUUAAAACAACCUUCAAAAAAUAAGUGAAAACAAUAGAAAACAAUUAAAAGAUGUUAUUUGAAAACAAACAUAAAAAUUUAGUAAUGAACGUUUAAACUUGAUUAGCUGGAUACUCUUUUAAAUUUAGGAAUGAAUGUUUUAGUUUGUUUAAACAUAAUCAUUUCAUUAGUUCUUGUGUAUUAUGUGAUGGUUUGUACAAAUUCAAACUUGAUAACCUUUUUGUUGGGACUUUGUUAACGUUGCAUCAUAAUGUUGGUACUAAACGUGGUUCAGUUGAUGAAAGUUUAGAUUACUUGUGGCAUAAAUGCUUGGGUCACAUGUCCAAAGAAAGAAUACUGAGAUUGGUAAAGAAUAAAAUCCUUCAUAAUUUGAAUUUUGUUGAUCUUAGUAUAUGUGUGGAUUGUAUUAAAGGAAAACACACAAUUAAGAAAGUAGCCAUAAUAAGCAUACAACUCCUUGAACUUAUUUACACCGAUAUAUAUGGGUCUUUUGAUGUUUCAUCUUUUGGUGGAGAAAGGUAUUUUAUCACCUUUAUGGAUGAUUUUUCACGUUAUGACUAUGUUUAUGUAUUGCAUGAAAAAUCUCAAUUAAUAGAUGCCUUAAAGGUGUUUAUUAAUGAGGUUGAAAGACAAUUAGACAGAAAAGUGAAAAUUGUCAUGUUUGACAGAGGUGGUGAAUAUUAUGGAAAGCAUGAUGAAACUGAACAAUGCCCUAAUCCAUUUGCUAAAUUCCUUGAAAAGUGUGGCAUAUGUUCUUAAUACGCAAUGUUAGGUACACUGCAACAAAACGGUGUUGCAGAAAGGCAUAAUUGUACUCUUUGUGGAUGCUUGCCUUGAAAACCGCCAUGUAUUUAUUGAAUAGGGUUCUUAGAAAGGCAAUUUCAAAGACUCCUUUUGAAUUGUAGCUAGGAAAGUACCUGCAUGUUUGGGGUUAUUGGCGGAAAUAAAGGAUUUAUAAUCCACAUGAAAAGAAACUGGACUCAAGAAUAACUAAUGGCUUUUUCAUUGGUUAUCUAGAAAAACGUUAAAGGAUAUGAAUUUUAUUGUAUAGACCAUAGUAAGAGAAUUGUUGAAAUUGGAAAUGUUAGGUUUAUAGGAAAUGGUGACAUAAGUGGGAGUGUGGAACCAUGCAAAGUGGAAAUCGAAGAAGUUAGGGUACUGGUUUCGUUAUCUAUAACUUCUUCUCAAGUUGUUGUUCCUACAGUUGUUGAAUAGUUUGACAACUUGUAAGAACAACAAAUGAAUGAUCAAAUUCCCACAAUGAAAUUGUUGCAAAUAAACUUGUAGUGGAUGAACCACAUGAAAUAGCAUUGAAGAAGGUCUCAAAGGCAAAAGAGAGCUGCUAUUUUUGUUGAUUAUGUGGUUUAUCUACAAGAGUCAGAACUUGACUUACGAAUUAAUGAGGAUCCAAUUUCGUUUUCACAAGCUAUAGAAAGUGUUACUUCUAUUAAGUGGUUGGACAUAUGGAAACUAGAUGUUUACUAAAAUGUGGAUUCAUCAUUUUUCAUGGGAAACUAAAGCCAUUGAAAACAUGAUUUUCUUAGCAACCAAUGAAGGCAAGUUCUUAUUUACUUUUGAAUGUGAAACCUAUGCUAGGCAAAAGCUAUUAUAGGUUACUUAGAUUGUGCUUGUUAGAAUGAAACAAUCCUACUGCCGUUUUUUGUGAAUUGCAUAUGGUUCUAUUCGUGUGUUUUGUUCUCUUGCUUGUUUGAAUAGGUUAAAUGUUAUUUGGUUGUUGCUUUGUUAACUCAUUUUAGCUCGUUGUCAUUUUAGCAUUAAGGUUGAGAAUUUCUCAAACUGCAGGCCUUAAGUAAAUCUAUUGCUAAUAAAAAUGCUAGCAGUGAAAUAAUCCUUCAGAUAUUCAACAGAUCAUGUAUUGGCUGGCAUAACUGUCAUUUCAUUGUUAUUACAACUGAAACAGCUUUAGAAGAAUUCCAUUGUCUGGUUGGUCUAUUAAAACUUGAUAAGGUUAGGGUGAUGAUUCAAUUGUUAGUCAUUAGGUAACUGGUGUUAGCUUAAUAAUUUCAACCCUCUAUGAAUAUGUGGGGUUUAAGAGUAGGCGCUUUCAUGUUGGAGGUUUUGAGAACUGUGACACAGCCAAUGACAGAAUUGAGUUUGUAGAAGUGAAAUGGGCAGGAGAACCAUUUACUGGGGCCAUUAGUUCAGGAAAUUCAAUAAUUUGGCUAUUUCCUUGCUAUUAUUUCCUCAAAAGUUUCCAGAUUUUGCCCCUCCAUACUUAAAAGACAAGUCAUUGAAUCAAAGCUAUUUAGUUUGUUUGAUUUUCGUUAAUUAAAGAGAAGUACGAUAAACACUCCCUUGAUCUUCUUCUUUGAUUUUUUUUUUUGAAAUUAUUUUUCAAAUAAUAAAUAAGAUCUAUGGAAAUAGGUGGAGUCUAGCCACUGGGACACAAAUCAAAGGAUGAGCCCUUGGAAGAGUGAGCCCUGGUCCCUCUUCCAUGUUAAGAGUUCCAUUGCCCCCGUCCCUCACCUUCCACUCAAAGCACUGAAUCAUAGCAGCAAGGCUUGUUUGGACGACCUGUAGUGCUAGUGAAGUUCCAGGGCAACCUCUUCUUCCACUUCCAAAUGGCAGCAGAUAAAAAUGUUGUCCCCUAACUUCCAACUGGCUCUUUAAAGUCCCGUCUUCAUUAACAAACCUCUCAGGCUGGAACUCAAGUGGGUUCUCCCAGUGGUUUGGAUCCCUUCCUAUAGCCCACACAUUAACAAAUAGCCGGGUUCCUGCGGGAAUAUCAUAACCCCCAAUGGUGCAGUCCUCAGAUGACUCUCUAACAAUCAAUGGACCCGUGGGAUGUAGCCUUAGUGUUUCCUUAACAAUGGCUUGGAGGUAGGGAAGGUUUGCGAUAUCUGAUUCUUCUACUAGUUUGUUUUUGCCAACCACGGAAUCUAUCUCUUGUCUUGCUUUCUCCAUAAUAUUUGGGUUGUUGAUCAGCUCUGCUAGUGCCCAUUCGGUUGUAAUGGCAGAUGUGUCAGUCCCUGCUGCAAAUAUAUCCUGUGAAAUUCACUGGGUAUGUAUUAACUUCUUUGCAAAAACUCUUAAUUUAGUGAGAAAAUAAGGUUAAGGAGUGGGAGUGUUGUUACAAGAAAACUCAUAUUCCAGGCAACAAUGUGAGCAAAGAUCAAUUAAUGUUUUAUCCAAAUGGGGCUAGAGCAAAUUGUUCAAACCCCUAAACACAUCCUAAAUUUUAGGGUCUUAAAUCAAACUAUAUUUUCACAUUUUAAAAGAAUGACUAGAACAUUCGAGCAGCAAAUUUUUAUAUAUACUGUUAUAAGAAUUUGAAUUUUGCUUCUUUGUGGCUAGGAGGUUGAGAAAUUCAUCUGGUGCCCAAGAAAGGGGCCUCAAGCACAAUCCUUUGUUAAUAAGAAUGAAAUGCUUCAUUUCAACUUUGGAGGAUCAAAUAUCCCUCUUGGAUUCCAAAGAACAUGCGCCCAACACGUCUUUAGGGCCCACAAAACUGCCCCUAAUAGGCGUUUUGUAUAUGCUUAAAAGCAUCAGUCACAAUGAUCUGGACUAUCUAUUUGAAAUCAAAACAACUAUGGUUUUUCUUAUAAUUUUUUUGGCCAUUAUAUAUCUUCCAAUUGGCCUUUUUUUUUUCUCUUGGUCAUCUAAAUGAACAACUUAUAGGAUACUAAUGGGCUAGAAUAAUUAUUAAUCCAAUAAUCAGUAACCUUAAGACAAGGCCAGAGCUGACACUAGUUAUUUUUGAGGAAAUGUUAGAAAUAAAUGUAAGUGAAAGAGUCAAUACCAGGAUGAAGGCCUUGAUGUUCUCUCUUGUUAAUUUUAUUUCUGAGCUUUGAUCUUCUGAUAUGUCAAGUAAAAUAUCAAGUACAUCCUUUGCUGCAUCGCCUCCACCACCCAUCUCCUUCUUCCUUGCCUCCUCAUGCUCCCUCAUAAUCUUCUCUAUCAUUGAGUCAAACCUCUCAUGAACUUCCUUGAGCCUUUUCCCAAAUCCUUGCAAAUCUAAAUUCUUACAAAACCAAAUAAAAUCUGACAAAUUAAACUUUCCAGUGAGCUCAGCUACUUCUUGCACCAAUCUCUUUACUUCACCAGCUUCAUUUUCACUAUCAGAACACCUUAGACUCAUGGUCAUUGUUGAUAUCACAUUGUUAGUCACCCUUAUAAGUUCUUCUCGAACAUCAAUUUCCUCACCGGCUUCAGCUUUUUCCAUUAUUGACUGCAUAAACCAUUUUAUCUCUGUACAUCUAAUGUGAUAGAACUGGUCUAGCCUUCGACCAGAAAGAAGUUCUGACAUGCAAAGUUUCUUCAUGAACUUCCAGUAGAGCCCAUAGGGAGCAAAGGAAAAGUCAGCUGAGCCAUAUGUCAAGAAAUCAACAGCAGCAAUUUUGGGUCGAUUAGAGAAUGAAGUUUCAUGAGUUUUGAGGAACUCUUUGGCCAUUUCUGGGGAGGAAGCAACAACACAGGGGACAGAUCCGAGGAAGAGAUGAAUUAAUGGUCCAUAGCGGUGUGAGAGCUUGUGAAAAGCUUGGUGAGGUAUAGGAGCAAGGAGAUGGAGGUGACCAAUGAUUGGCAGGGCUAGUGGGCUUGGUGGAAGAUGAACGGUUGUUCGCCAUUUGGUGAAGAUGGCUCGAAUCAGGAUGGUGGAGACUAACCAAAUUAGGAAGAGAGUGAUGUAACCUUGGAAGUCAGCCAUGAAUGAGGGACAGCAACGGUGAGACCAAGAUGUUGGUUUCAUGGAGUUGCUUAUAUAAGAUGAAAUAAUACUUAAGAAUUGGAGGUGGGCAAUUGCUAUGGUGUUUAGAAUUUUUGAAAAUCAAGUUUCACCAAAUCUUUGAGAAAUUACUCAAUCCAUGGACCUGUACAGUUACAGUCUCAUUUUUGUUUUUUUUUUGGAACAUUAUACUCUGCAUUAUUCUCUUUACAUGAAAGCCGGCGAAGAUGGAAACAGACAAAAAAAGGAAAGAGGUGGGGUGGGGAAUGGAUGUUAUUAGCCUUCAAUUUGGUCAUUGGUAGGUUUUGAAAACGAACAAACCUUCAUUAAAUUAUGAGUUGCUUCCAGAAUAUAUACGUCGUUCGACUCUUAUUAUAUUUGGGAGGAUAGAAACGUCUGGAUUUUAAGAAGUCUGAAUGCUUUGCCGGCAGUGGUGGGGGCUAGGUUGAAAGAGCUUCAAUUAUAGUAUACACGUUGGCACUUGGAUCUUAUGAUUAAAUUUCUUGCUUGUCUCAAUCUCUUCUACACGGUUGAAAUCAGACACAGCCUUUGGUUUUUCUUGAGCCCAAACCAAUUAGAUUGCAGCAGGAUAUAGAUACAUGUUUCUUUAGUUUGGUCCGGUUGACUUAUUCUACGUGAGCAAGGAUCAUCAAAGCGCCCCUCUCAUACACGACAAUUUCAAAAUUCUUUCACUCACCCUCUUAUCUUGUUUUAGAAUAUUCUCGAUGUUGCCUGCAAUGUGCCUUCCAGAUGGUGCCACUGGUAGUAAGAUUGCAAAUUGAACUGGUCCGGUCUGAAAUUUCUGAGACCCAAACCAUAGGUAUAAUCUUUGAAGUUGGACUGGACAUAUGAAAACCUCUUCAAGAAGGGUUUAAGGCCAAGGAUUGAAAUCUCCGGAAGCGGAGGAAACGGCAAGAAAGGGAAAACAAAUUGAGUCAAUGGAUAAGGUAAGUAACUAAAAAAAGAGAAGUUAUUUGGACACAUGAGCCAACACAAGCAUCAAAUUGUAAAAAUGUCCUCUUUGAUUUUACUAAAGAACCCUCUUUUUACACUUUUGUCCUUUUUUAUUUGUUUCCUCCAAAACCAACAUCUUCCCUGUUAUUUUAUUUGUUAUUAUUCAUAGUCCAUUUAUCUCUCCAACUCACUUUUUAGUUUUUUUCACUACUUCCUAGAAAGUUGUACUAUAACUUCCAUCUUUUUCACCUCUAUGGCUUGUUUUAACUUACUUUGAAGUUCUUUCUUAAUUAAUGAUACUCUAUGAAAACCCUCUUUGAUCUCAUUGUGACUUAACUCAUUCUCUUCAUCUCAUUUUUCAUUCAAGAUGUUUAAUUAAACCAUAUUGGAUUAUGUUUUAUUUAUAAAGAAUAUUUUAAUUAAGCUUAAAUUUUCAUUAAAGAUGUUUAUCUGUGAUUAAAUUUUAUUAUAAAAAAUAAACUAGGAUUAAAUUCAUUAAGUUCUUAAUUAUUAUCGUCAUUUGAGCUAUAUUGUAGUUAAAUUUCAUGAUGUUGUAGUUUUGGAUUUUCACUUGAAUUGUAUUAAGUUUAAGUUUCAUUUAUAAAGCACUUAAUGUUUUUAAUGAGAAUUUUCAUUUGGACUUAUGAUAAAGUUUCAUUUUUAAAAAAAAAUUAACUUAAGUUAGAAUUAUGACUGAUUAAGUGGAUUUAAUUUGUUGAAUUAUAAAAAUGUUUAUUUUUAUUGUAAAUGAUCAUUCACUUAUGUAUAUCUAUGGAAAAUUAUUCUUAAGGAAUAUAUAAAGACAACAACAAUAAUUUAAUUAUUCGUGAUCAACAAAUUAUAAUUAUUAAUAAUUAGUUCAAGUCUAUAGGAUUACGUAGGAAGAUUUUAUUGGAAUGAGUGUGUUUAGUGGAUGCUUGUACCUCAGUAUUUUAAAAAAAUUAUUAAAGCCUAUGUUACUACAUGAACACCAAAAAGGUAUAUUAGCAAUGUUAAUUGUCAUUGUGUAGAUAGAAAUUUUGCAAUCGCUUGAUCCCUGGCCUGUAUCAUUGUCAUUGUGUAUAUUAGAACCAACAUUAUUUUUAAGCUUUAUUGGCCCUACAAAAAAACCAAAAUUCAUAUAUAUAUAUAUAGAAAAUCAAAUUUUAGAAGUAAUUUUUUUAUACAACAAAAAUAAAAAAUAAAUUUUAAUUAUCUCUAUUCAAGCUUUGGUAAAUUCAAUCAAGCUAUGUAUUGCAAAAAUGAAAGGCAAUAUAAAUAUUUAAAAGCUAUUACAAAAAAGGGGGCACAGAUUAUCAUUAUUUUUAUGUCCUAGAGUAGCUUUGAAUUAUAAAAAUUAUUAUUUUGGUAUUAAAUGUAAUUUCAUAUGUUUUUAAGUAUUAAAAUUCACUGAAAUACAAUCCUUAUCCUUUUAUUAAUAUUAAAUAUUCACUUUUAAAAUUACAUUUAUUAUUAUUGAACAUUUUAUUCUUGACUAAUAUUACUAAUUUUAUUAUAAAUAUAUUAUUUUUUUAAAAAAAUAGUUUACAUGGUUUAUCCUUUCCGAAUUGAAACUGAAAUGUUUCAUUUCAUAGCCCUGCAUGUAUAUGAAGAAAGCAUUCCAUAUGAAGAACCCGACAAAGCCUUGAUUCUAAUUGCUUAAAACAAUUUGAUGCCUUUCUAGAUUUUCAGUGGCUUUUGGAUAUCACCCUACCGGGUGUUGUUUUCGAAACAGACAAUUAAAGUAUUUAUUAUUUGUGAUUGUUUUAAUCAAACAUAGAAAUGAUAACCACAUACUUCCUUAAAGAUGAUUAAUUGUUUUAAUCAUCCUAAUAAAAUUUAUAGCAUCAAUUUUUUUUACUUUUAUCUGAUGUCACUGUUCUAGAACCACACGAAACCAUGGCAUAUAUCUUAAUAAUUAAUGUUAGCACUCUUAAUCAGCGGAAAAUUUGAGACAAAUUUUGACAAAGAAAAUAGAGAAAAAAAAAAGGAAGAAAAUAAAAAAUUGAUUUGAAGUUAAUAAAUUAUUUUUAUAUAUUUCUUCAAAUUCAUUUCAUUUAUUUUUCUACCAAAUUCAUUUUUACUAAAUAAAUUUUUAAUAGCCAAAUAAGGUACUUGUUUAAAUAGAUCAUUUAAUUUUCUUCCAAAUAAUUAUUCUCUUUCUAAGGACAAAAAUUUGUUGUAUACACAAAUCUUUAUAUAGUUUAAAUAUGUACAUUUGAACUUAAACAGUUACAUAUAAAUUUGAACAUCUUUUUGAACGUGGUGUAUUUAAAUUAAUUUUAUACAUUUGUAAUUAAUUUUGUUUAAAUUAGUUAUGUGUGUAGCUUGAUUGUGAUUAAUUUGUUAAUUAAUUGUUUUUAAAUAUCUUUUAGAUUGUAGUGGUCAAGUUCAAAAGAAAAUUGGUAAAAUUCUUGACAUUUUUAGAGGAAAUUACAAAUAAAUAAUUAUACAUCUUAGAGUGUUAAGUACAAAUUUAUAAAAUAAAUCACAUUAGACAUCAAUUUUCUACUUUAGCAAAUAAUGUAAUAACACCAAUUAGUUAAAUUUCAUACAUAGUAUCUUAGAGUUGCAUAUGAGUUUUAAUUGUUUUCAUUAGUUUAUAUAAAGAGUACAAUUUGGCCGUGUUGGUCUGAUACACCUUGACAUUUGCACAGGUUUGGAUAAUUAUUUUCAAUAGUUGAGUUGGACUUAAAUUAUGUUUUUUCAAUUCGAAUUCAAUUUGUGUUGGGUUCAGGUUAAGGUCUGGAUAAUUAGAGUUUAAUUUGAAUUGAGCUUGAGUUGAGUAGCUCGGGUUAAAGAUCAGGUUAGAUUGGAUUUAUGUUGAUUGUUUCUUAAUUUGUGUUAGAUUUAAGCUAAGCCUAACAUCUAGGAUUCAGGCCCUUCUUCUGAGUCCACUAGAGGAGCUGAUGGUGUUAGAAUAUGCAUUCUUUGACUGAAGAUGCCAACAAGAGGACUAGGCAAUGAGAUUGUUAAUCUAAAUGCGCUCUUCUUUUCCUAUAUAGAACAGAAAUGGGAGCUGCUUAUGUCCUAUCCAGUGCUUGCCCUUGCUAUUAACUCUGAAAGGAAGAGGUAGAUUGGCUUACUUACUCUCUUGCCAAGCUCGAUUGAAAGGGGAGGAAUGAAAUAAAUUGGUAAAGGAGAUUUGUUUUUUUAAUUUGGAUUGGAUUCAACUUAAUCAUCAGUAUGAUCAAGCCAUUGGAUUUGCAGCCCAAAUUUAUAUCUUUAUGUCCCAUGGGAAAGCUGUAUAUUUGCUUCUCAAAAGUUUCAAAAUAUUUAAACCAUUUUAACUUUUCAGUUUGGGCGUUUCUGAUUUAUUUUGGAAAAUUAAAUGGCCACCCACCAUGGAAUUAAGUUUUACCUUAUAGAUAAGGAAUUCCUUUCAAUAGUAUGGAUUUGGGAAUGCGGCUGGAUGGCGCAGCGAGAAUACAUAAAUUUAUUUAUGAGACACACGAUUCACAACUUAACCGAACAUAGAACAAACGUUCAGAUCUUUACAUACAGAGUACCUAGAAAGCACUGCCACAUCAAAGAUACGACUCUAACAUUUAGGCUUUCUUCAACUUGUAUAUAUUGGUAGUGGGUUCAGCCUGACCACUGGGACGCAGACCAAGGGGGUUGCUCGGGUUGAGCCAAAUCCCUCUUUCAUAUCAAUAUUGCCGUUUACUUUCCAGUCAAAGCACUGAAUGAGAGCAGCAAUGGUUGUAUGGAGAACCUGCAGUGCUAGUGUAGUUCCGGGGCAAAGUCUUCUUCCACUACCAAAGGGCAGCAGAUGGAACUGCUGUCCUCUUACAUUCAAUCGCCUGUUUAUACCUCCCUCGUUGAGAAAUCUCUCAGGCUGGAACUCGAGUGGGUUCUCCCAGGAAUUUGGAUCCCUUCCGAUAGCCCACACAUUAACAAUUAGCUGGGUCUUCGCAGGAAUGUCAUAGCCUCCAACUUUGCAGUCUUCAAUUGAUUCCCUAACAAUGAAAUGACCCGGAGGGUGAAGCCUUAGCGUUUCCCUCACAAUGGCCUCAACAUAGGGAAGGUUGGUAAUAUCUGAUUCUUCCACCAGUCUGUCCUUUCCGACGACAGAAUCAAUUUCAUGUCUUGCUUUCUCCAUAAGAUUUGGGCGGUUAAUUAGUUCUGCGAGUGCCCAUUCCAUCGCAUGAGCAGGUGAAGUUGUCCCUCCUCCAAUCAUAUUCUACACAAAUUAUAAAAAAAUUCACGCCAUCAGUUGGUUUAUUAUUGUCCAAAUUUUUUUUUCUUGUUUAAAAGAUUUUGAUUGAGUUGGAUUGGGAUAAUGAAAAAGUGCCAUACACUUCAAAGUCUAAUGUUAUGCAGAUGCAGGUAUUAUAUAUGUAUGUAAUAAGAAUAGUCUGUUUACCAGCAUCAAGGCCUUAAUGUUCUCUCUUGUCAAUCUCAUCUCAGCCUUCUCGUCUUCUGUUGUAUCAAGUAACAUAUCAAUCAAAUCCUUCACUUCACCAUUCCCAUCACCUGCUUCCUUCUUCCUCCUCGCCUCUUCAUGCUCGCUUAUAAUCCUCUCGAUCAUGGAGUCGUAUUUAUCACGAGCUGCCUUUGCCUUCUUUAAGAAACCCUGAAUAUCUAAUUUCUUACAGAACCAGAUAAAAUCUGUCACAUUAAGCUUCAUUGCCAUACUGGCCAUUUCUAGUAUCGACUUCUUCACCCCGGCAGCCUCAUCUUCAUUGUCUGAGCAUCUUCGGCUCAUACUCAUUCUUGACACUAUGUCACCGGUUAGCCUCAAAAGCUCAGCUUUAACAUCAACCGCCUCACCAGCUUUGGCCUUUUUUAGUAGUCUCUGUAAGAGUCGGUUCCUCUCCUCGCGCCUAAUGGGACCAAAGUGGUGUAUCGUCUGCAUGCCAAGUAGUUCGGUCAUACACAGUUUCUUCAUGAAUCUCCACUUUGCUCCAUAUGGAGCAUAUGUAAGGUCAGCGUCGCCAUAGGCUACAAGUUCAGCAACGACCUUUUUGGGCCGGUUGGAGAAUACAACAUCUUGGUUUUGAAGUAACUCUUUUGCCAUCUCUGGAGAGGACACAACAACACAAGGGACAGAGCCAAAGAAGAAGUGCAUUAGGGGUCCAUAGCGCCAUGAGAGCUUCUGAUAGACUACAUGAACGUUCGAGACAGGAAGAAGAAGGUGGAGGUGUCCAAUGAUAGGUAGGGCAACGGGGCCGGGUGGAAGACGAAGUUUUGUUCUUCGAUAUUUGGUGAAGAAAGGCCGGACCAUGAUGGCUGAUAGGAGCCCGAUGAGAAUGUAAGGGAUGUAGUUCUGGAAAUCAGCCAUGGUUUAAGCUGCAAAAUGAAACCAGGGUGUUGGUCUCUUAUAUAGAAGAAAACCACUCAAUAUUAUUACCCCCUUUUUGUUGGGUCUCAUAUGGACUAAUGGACCUUGUGCCAUUUUUUGCCACCAAGAUUAAAGUAUCCUAAUACAUGAUAGAAACAAUGACCCUAUAGCAGGUGAUAAGCAAGAGAGAGAGAGAGAGAGAGAAAAAGGGAGAUGUGGGGAAAGUUUAAAAAUUGGUUCAGGGUUGCAGGAUUUUGAUGGCAUAGAAUAUUAACUAAGAAAUAGUUAUAUUCUUCAAAAAUAUCGUAAUGAAUUUUCAUAGGGAAAAAAAAAAACAGUUUGCUUCCAAAUUUGAGUUAAUUACAUUAAAUUUUUAUUAGUGGACAAUUUUAAUAUAACAUUAAAUUCAAGUCUUUUUGAGAAAGUUUUUAAAAAUAAUUCUAAAAAAAUAGGUUUUGAGCACAUUUCUUAAAAAUUACUCUCAAUUGUUUUAAGAAAUUAAAUUCUAUUUGAAAAUCUAACUACAAAAAAUAGUUUUUUGAUUUAUUUUUCAUAAGUGUUUUACAUUAUUAUAAUGUAAAAAUGCAUAAAAUAAUUUUACAUUUUCAGUUAUUUUUCAAAACAUUUGAAAAAACCAUCUAAAAAUAUUUUAAUUUUGUCUUAAAAAGAAUAACUUGUAAAAACUUUGUAAUAGUAUCCAAAUAGGUUGUAGCAAGGUUCAAGAUUUUGGUGAAAUUGUAAAAGACAGUUUAUGUCAAGAAUGAGUUAUUUUUCAAGUAAAAACAUAAAAAAUGUUAGAUUCACAUAUUAAGGGAUCAUUCGGUUCAUUUUAACCAAUUAAUUCAUAUACUUAUUUAUAUGGAGAUAGUACAUUUCAUUUAUUUUAUUUAUUUUUAUAUAUAAAAAUUGGAAUAAAAAGAUGUUAAAUAGGUGUAUUUAAUCAUUAAUUUGAAACUAAUAAUAGCUUUUGGUGCCUAGUUACUAAUGUACUACAUAUUCUAGGCGGCCAUCCUAAUCUAGGGUAGAAAUGAGGAGGACAAUACUAAUAAAUAAGAAGAUGUGCUGUGACGUUCCACCAAAUGGCUCGAAAGCCUUAUAAACAAAGGCACUAAUAUUUGUGGCUGUGUCCUACUAUCGUCAUGAUCCAUGUCACCUCGCAAUUAUGGAGGGCCAUAAGUGUAAUCCUACUAGUUUCCUACUCCCUCGACAUCACCUAGAGUUGAAUGACCCAAGCUAAUGCAGCAUGAUAGGCUUUCAAUAAUGGGAUUUUAGAUAAAUUUAUGGAAAGUAAGUAGAAUUAUUUGUGAAAAAUGAUAGUUUUAAAAUUAUUGACAAAAUUAUGGCACUUUAAAUCACAUGAGUUUUGUUGAAAGUGCCAUAUAGUAACUUGUCUUAAAAUUAUGUUUUUAAAAUACAAUUUCAAUAUCAUUGUAAAGUUGUAUUUUGAAGACAUAAUUUUAAUAAACGAUUUACUAUUUUUUAAGGGUUUUUUUUUUCAAUAUUUACCUAUUUCAAGUUUUAUUAUUAUAACAUGCUUAAGAGUAACGACAAUAAACACAAUGAUAAUUUGAUCAUUCUUAUUCAAGAGAAUCCUAUUUACGAGCAAAAAGACAUAUGAAUCAAGACUAUGGUUAUAUUAAUCACCAUUUGGAACAAGUAUAUCUUUACGAUGCCUUUAUGACUAAUGAUAAAAGUUUUCCCAUUUUUUUAUUAAAAUUUCAAGAAAAUAUAUUGAUAGCUCUUGACAUGAUAUUUGAGGGAAAAAAAUAGAGGGUAUUAAUUAUCCUUCUUCUUGUUAAAUCCGAUUUUUCUCCAAACCUUGCCCAUGAAGGGGAAGCUCGUGAUAUUUGAGGGUAAAAAAAUUAUUGUGCUUGGAUAGCGAACUGCACCCAAUAUGUUAAUGAAAAUUUCUUGAUUGGUUUUAGAUUGAUAACACUGCCAAGGAAUUCAAAACAAAAGGGACAUGACAAACAAGCCCUCAAUUAUGGUUCGCUGAUUGAAGAACAAUGAAUGUUAGUUGCAUUUUUUGCAUGACGACAUUAACGUGGUUUUGGCUAUUUACUAUUCUUCAAGUUUAUUUUUUUUUUCUGUCUCUGUCUGUUUAUAUGAUAAAUAUUGUCUUAAUUUUCACUAUGAUAGGAUACAGCAACAUAUUUUUGGUCCCCCACCAACAUAUAUUUUUCUGUCUCUGUCUUAAUUAUAUGAUAAAUACCUCCCAGACACUGAAUUUUUGGUCCCCCACCAACAUAUUUUUAGUUGGGUCACGCUCGUGGGUCUUGAGCUUACAGAUAACUUCACAGGGUUUGUCAACAUUGAGUUGUAUCUUUUCAUUUGGAUUGAACUCUAAUCACUUUCUGCAGUGUCGAAUAUUUUAAUUUAUUCUAAAAAAUUGGUUCCAUUACCUCCAUGAAAGUUAAGUCCCACCUAAUACUUUUGUAAUUCCUUUCAACUAGCCGCCCAGCCAAUAGUUUAAGUUUAGGAGGGGCAACCCUUAUAACAAAUAUGAGCUUUAACCCAAUGGUUCAGAGUCGGGAAGUUUUUUUGUUUUAAUAUUUUCAGAGGGUGUCUAAAAACAAGUUUUAAACUCAAUAUUUUUUAUUAUGUUAAUUUUGUUUUUAUAAAAAUUGUGGAAUUUAUAAAAAAUAAAAUUUUGAAUAGUUUUUAUUAUAUUUUAAUUUCCUUUUACAUUUUUUCAUUAAAAAAAAAGAAGAGAUUUUAAGGUUUUUUUUUUCUCCUUUACUUUCUAGUUUAUAAAAUCUAAACAAAGCCUUGAUUUCCCAAAAUCUAAUGUAAUAUAAUUACUUGUUUUAAUUAUAACCUAACCAAAUUAAUAAAAUUUUAUUUUCUUUUGGUCUUAAUUAUUAUUAUUAUUAUUUUUGAAAUUUAGAAAAUUAAUACAAUAUAAAAUAUAAAAAUUUUAAAUCUUAUCUUCUUUUAAGUUUUCCCUUGUGAUGAUGGUCUUUGAAUAUUGUAACAUAACCCAAUUUCCAAUAGGAUUUGAAAUACCUAACGAGAUGCAUAAGGUUUUUGACUUUUGAUUGUAAUAAUUUCUUGUAAUACUUUUGAUCGAUUCCAUAUAGUAUGUGAUUUAUAAUAAUAAGGUAAAAAAUAAUGUUCCAUUCAUGUUUGAUUAAAUAUAAAAUAUAAGAUAAUAGGAUAAGUAGGCAAUACUAACCAAGUAUUAUUUAAUAUAAUAUUUAAUACAUAGAAAAUGUCUUUAUAUAUUUUAACAUUCUGAUAUUUUUAUUUUUAAAUUUUAAAUUUUUUAAUCACAAAUAUUGCUAACAAAAAAAAAAAAAAAUUACUUACUAAGUGAUAAAUUAUGCAACAAUUUUCAAAUAGUACUAAAAAAGAGAGGGGUUUCGUCUUUUAGAAAAUAUUAGUCAUGAUAUAGCUUUUAUUUUAAACUAAUAAGUAUGAUAUACCUAUUUUCCAUUUCAUUUUAUUCCUUGUACAAAUCAUAUACCACUGAAAAUGAAAUUCUUGCUAAAAAUUACACCAUAUGAUAGACAUUUCUGGCAUAGGGUCACUUUGUUUACAUUGUAUAAUUUGGAAAUGGAUUCAACCUGGCCACUGGGACACAAACCAAAGGGUGUGCGAGGGCUGCAUCAGGUCCCUCUUCCAUAUCAACAUUUCCAUUUCCUCCACCAACCCUCCAUUCAAAACAUUGAAUCAUAGCAGCCAAGCUUGUCUGAACAACCUGUAGUGCUAGUGAAAUUCCAGGGCAUAUUCUCCUUCCACUCCCAAAUGGCAGUAGAUGAAAAUGUUGCCCCUUUACAUCCAACUGACUCUUUAAACUCCCAUCCUCUCUCAGGAACCUCUCAGGCCAGAACUCAAGUGGGUUCUCCCAGUAAUUUGGGUCCCUUCCAAUAGCCCACAAGUUAACAAAUAAUUGUGUCUUUGUAGGAAUAUCAUAACCUCUGAUGGUGCAAUCUUCAAUAGAUUCUCUAGCGAUCACUGCACCAGGAGGAUGGAGCCUAAGUGUCUCCUUAACAAUGGCUUGAAGAUAAGGAAGGUUUGCGAUAUCUGAUUCUUCCACAAGUCUAUCCUUUCCCACUACAGAAUCUAUCUCUUGUCUUGCUUUCUCCAUAAUGUUUGGGUGGUUAAUUAGCUCUGCUACUGCCCAUACUGCUGCUGCAGCAGAUGUAUCCGUUCCCCCUCCAAAAAUAUUCUGGACAAGUUAAAAAAAUCACUCUUUGUAAAUUAAUAAACAAAACUUCUUCAGUUAUUUUCUGGUAUAGAAAUUUUGAUUGGAUUGGGUUUAGGCAAUGAAUAUGAUACAUGUGAUUAUGAGAUUAGUAAAAGUGAGAAUUAGUUACCAGGAUGAUGGCCUUGACGUUCUCUCUUGUCAGUCUCAUCUCCUCUUUCUCAUCUUCGAUUAUAUCAAGUAAAAUAUCAAGCAAGUCAUUCACUGUGUCUCCUCCAUUAUUCGGAUCCCUUUUCUUCCUCCUUUCUUCUUCAUGAGCCUUCAUAAUCCUUUCCAUCAUUGUAUCAAACCUUCCACGAGCUUCUUUGACUCUCUUCUUAAAUCCUUGCAGAUCCAAAUUCUUACAAAACCAGAUAAAAUCUGCCAAGUUAAAACUGCCUGUGAGCUGUACUAUCUCUUUCAUAAACUCUCUCACUUCGCUAGCAUCAUCCUCAUUCCCAGAACACCUGUGCCUCAGAAGAAUUCUUGUUACUAAGUUGUUUGUUAGCCUCAUAAUCUCUCCUUUAACAUCAACUGUCUCACCUGCUUCAGCUUUUCCCAAUAGUGUUUGCAAAAAUAGAUGUCUCUCUUCUCUCAUAACUGGGACAAAUUUCUCUAGUGUUUGGAGGCCGAGAAGUUUGGUCAUGCAAAGUUUCUUCAUGAAUUUCCAAUAGGGCCCAUAUGAAGAAAAGGCAAGAUCAACCGAGCCGUAGGUUAGGUAAUCAGCAUUGCUGAGUUUGGGUCGGUUGGAGAAUGAAAUAUCAUGGGUUUGGAGAAACUCUUUUGCCAUCUCCGGAGAGGAAACUACCACACAAGGGAUGGAACCAAGGAAGAGUUGAAAUAGCGGUCCAUAGCGGAGCGAGAGCUUGUGAAGGGAUUGGUGAGGUUUUGAGCCGAGGAGGUGGAAGUGUCCGAUGAUAGGUAGGGCUAGUGGGCCCGGUGGUCGUCGCACCCUGGUCCGGUACUUGGUGAACAAGGCAUGAACCACGACGACAGAUACGAGCCAAAUGAGGAAGAGAAUGAUAUAGUCUUGGACAUCAACCAUGGUUUGCAAACUCUGCACUCUUCUUCCUAUCUUUUUUUACUCGUAAUCUGUCAAUAACUUCUGGCCUGAUUUAGGAUCUUUAAUUCUCGAUAUGGGGUCGAAGAAACAGAUCCACUAUCAAAAUAAAAGAAAAACAAUAUCAUCUUAAGUCCUUGUUUGCAUCUACAAAUCAUUAUAAAACUAAUGAAAACGUCUUUGUUUUAGACUUUUAGUCGUAGCUUUUGUCUC